rnacentral:rRNA from 1 species
GCAGCGUCUGGUUGUCCGAGUUGUAACCUAGAGAAGUGCAGCCUGUGCUGGACCAUGUAUAAGUCUCCUGGAAUGGAGUGUCACAGAGGGUGAGAAUCCCGUGUUCGACAUGGACUGCCAGUGCAUUGUGGUGUGCUCUCAAAGAGUCGAGUUGUUUGGGAAUGCAGCUCUAAACGGGUGGUAAAUUCCAUCUAAAGCUAAAUAUUGGCGAGAGACCGAUAGCGAACAAGUACCGUGAGGGAAAGAUGAAAAGAACUUUGGAAAGAGAGUUAAACAGUACGUGAAAUUGUUGAAAGGGAAACAUUUAAAGUCAGUUGUGUUAGCUGGGGAUCAACCUGGUUUAUUGCUUGGGUGUAUUUCCUGGUUGACAGGUCAACAUCAGUUCUGACCGGUAGAAAAAAGCUAAGGAAAUGUGGCACCUUUGGGUGUGUUAUAGUCCUUGGUUGUAUCUGGUGGU